rnacentral:piRNA from 2 species
AUAGAGUCAUAGAGCGAAGGAUAGCUAGC